CCAAACUGUUGCCUCGGCGGGGUCACGCCCCGGGUGCGUCGCAGCCCCGGAACCAGGCGCCCGCCGGAGGGACCAACCAAACUCUUUUCUGUAGUGUCCCCUCGCGGACGUUAUUUCUUACAGCUCUGAGCAAAAAUUCAAAAUGAAUCAAAACUUUCAACAACGGAUCUCUUGGUUCUGGCAUCGAUGAAGAACGCAGCGAAAUGCGAUAAGUAAUGUGAAUUGCAGAAUUCAGUGAAUCAUCGAAUCUUUGAACGCACAUUGCGCCCGCCAGUAUUCUGGCGGGCAUGCCUGUCCGAGCGUCAUUUCAACCCUCGAACCCCUCCGGGGGGUCGGCGUUGGGGACCUCGGGAGCCCCUAAGACGGGAUCCCGGCCCCGAAAUACAGUGGCGGUCUCGCCGCAGCCUCUCCUGCGCAGUAGUUUGCACAACUCGCACCGGGAGCGCGGCGCGUCCACGUCCGUAAAACACCCAACUUCUGAAAUGUUGACCUCGGAUCAGGUAGGAAUACCCGCUGAACUUAAGCAUAUCAAAAGCCGGAGGAA
rnacentral:rRNA from 1 species